GGGGAUAUAGCUCAGCUAGUAGAGUACAUGUCUCACAUACAUAAGGCUCUGGGUUCAAUCCUCAGUACCACAA
rnacentral:tRNA from 1 species